GUACUGACGAAGAGUCCCAAACUAGGACGAAACAGUCGUCCAGUAC
rnacentral:hammerhead_ribozyme from 1 species